CCACGAUGAUGUUUCAAUUAUCAAAAGGCGCGAAAAGUUGUCAACAUGUUGGUAGGUUGGGAAAUUGUUUGCGUUAUUGGUUAAGAUUGCCGCAGAAGCAUUUGAUGUAACUGACUAAAUUUUUUUGAGUGUAAAUAAUACGGGACAAUUGAACUCCUUCGCAAACUCUGGCGAGUUUGACAAAGGCCCAACGACCCUGUACUUCGAUGUGCAGUGUGAGUCCUUCUCUAUCUGGAGACCUACAGCCUCGGAUGUUACCGCCGAACACCAAACCUGCCCAAAGUAGUUCAGGAUUAACGGGAAGCAAUGACUAGAAGACACGAUGUAACAUAAUUUCAGAAUCAUUGCACAUUAUACAUAAAAAGGACGUAUUUAAUCAUAUACAUGUAUAAAUUAGUUGUUAGACAAAGCAUAU